UGUCUCUGGAUACACAUUCACUGUGCAAGUAUCCACUGACUGAGGACUAGCAGAACAAAAUGAAAAACAAUUCAUCAAUCAGAGGUCUGGCUUGGUCAGUCACUUUGGUCAAGCAAUGAGAAACUGGGGCUGACAGAAAUGUCCAUCCAUUCCUUGGAGACUUUUCAGGAGUUGCACCUGAGAAAUGGUACCUGCAAACACCUGUGCAACUAGAAAGAGUCUUAAUUUAAUGUCACUAAGUCUUCAUAAUAGCUAGCAGCCAUAUGCUGACUGCAGUUGAAGUUUGCAGCCCCA
rnacentral:lncRNA from 1 species